rnacentral:rRNA from 1 species
GAUGAACGUUGGCGGCGUGCCUAACACAUGCAAGUCGAACGCUAGUAGCAAUAUUAGAGUGGCGCACGGGUGAGUAACACGUAGCUUAUCUACCUCCCAGCGCGGGAUAACGGUUCGAAAGAACUGCUAAUACCGCAUAAGCUCACGAGCUAUAGAGGCUGGUGAGAAAAGGCUUAGGUCACUGGGAGCGGGGGCUGCGGCCCAUCAGCUAGUUGGUGAGGAACGGCUUACCAAGGCGACGACGGGUAGGGGACCUGAGAGGGUGACCCCC